rnacentral:ncRNA from 1 species
CAAUAGGCGAUGGAGUUCGCCAUUAACCGCGUAAGCUAAUGACUCCUACUCU